UACAGAGGGUGCAAGCGUUGUUCGGAAUUAUUGGGCGUAAAGCGCGUGUAGGCGGCUUUGCAAGUCGGGUGUGAAAGCCCUCAGCUUAACCGAGGAAGUGCGCCCGAAACUGCUUGGCUUGAGUACCGGAGAGGAUGGCGGAAUUCCCCAAGUAGAGGUGAAAUUCGUAGAUAUGGGGAGGAACACCGGUGGCGAAGGCGGCCAUCUGGACGGAUACUGACGCUGAGACGCGAAAGCGUGGGUAGCAAACAGG
rnacentral:rRNA from 1 species